rnacentral:rRNA from 1 species
UAGGGAAUCUUCCACAAUGGACGCAAGUCUGAUGGAGCAACGCCGCGUGAGUGAAGAAGGUUUUCGGACCGUAAAGCUCUGUUGUUGGUGAAGAAGGAUAGAGGUAGUAACUGGCCUUUAUUUGACGGUAAUCAACCAGAAAGUCACGGCUAACUACGUGCCAGCAGCCGCGGUAAUACGUAGGUGGCAAGCGUUGUCCGGAUUUAUUGGGCGUAAAGCGAGCGCAGGCGGAAGAAUAAGUCUGAUGUGAAAGCCCUCGGCUUAACCGAGGAAUUGCAUCGGAAACUGUUUUCUUGAGUGCAGAAGAGGAGAGUAGAACUCCAUGUGUAGCGGUGGAAUGCGUAGAUAUAUGGAAGAAUACCAGUGGCGAAGGCGGCUCUCUGGUCUGCAACUGACGCUGAGGCUCGAAAGCAUGGGUAGCGAACAGGAUUAGAUACCCUGGUAGUCCAUGCCGUAAACGAUGAGUGCUAAGUGUUGGGAGGCUUCCGCCUGCUCAGUGCUGCAGCUAACGCAU